rnacentral:lncRNA from 1 species
AUGACAUUGCCAUGGCACCGAGGCAAGCGGGAUGCCGCACUGGGCAGGCAGAAAUGCUCCUGUAGUUCAAAGAAAGAGCAAAAAUAUCAGGUGGCUGAGAUAGAAGAAACCUUGAAAAAGCAAACCACGGAUGAUUAUCUGGAAGGGAAUUUCUUACAAACAUCUUAUCAGAAGAAAUUAGCCCAGCUUUUCUCAGACAAUGGCCAAGCCCUGGAGGCUCUGCCUCACGAGCAGCUUGCAGCCCCAUGCAGGGACACCGCAGGACCGUGCUACCCGUGCACACACCGCUGCUCGCAUGGCCAAGGCUGGAAGAGGCCAAGCUGUGAGGAAAGCAGCAUGAAAAUUAUCCCUGAGUGA